UAAUUCUUUCGGGGCAGGGUGAAAUUCCCAACCGGCAGUAAAUAAAGCCUGCGACCUGCUAAUAUGUUUCAUAUUAGUGGCUGAUCUAGUGAGAUUCUAGAGCCGACAGUUAAAGUCUGGAUGGGAGAAAGAAUGU
rfam:Staphylococcus aureus subsp. aureus NCTC 8325, complete genome.